CAUGUUUAAUCGAGACGGACAGAUGGGAGCCCGCUCCCUUUUAUGUNAGCGGCUGGACGGGUGAGUAACACAGUGGGUAACCUGCCUGUAAGACUGGGAUAACUCCUGGGAAACCGGGGCUAAUACCGGAUGGUUGUCUUGAACCGCAUGGUUCAGACAUAAAAGGUGGCUUCGUGCUACCACUUACAGAUGGACCCGCGGCUGCAUUAGCUAGUUAGGUAGAGGUAACGGCUCACCAAGGCGACGAUGCGUAGCCGACCUGANAGGGUGAUCGGCCACACUGGGACUGAGACACGGACCAGACUCCUACGGGAGGCAA
rnacentral:rRNA from 1 species